GAUGAACGCUAGCGGGAGGCCUAACACAUGCAAGCCGAGCGGUAGAGUCUCUUCGGAGACUUGAGAGCGGCGCACGGGUGCGGAACACGUGUGCAACCUGCCUUUAUCUGGGGGAUAGCCUUUCGAAGGGAAGAUUAAUACCCCAUAAUAUACUGGAUGGCAUCAUCUGGUAUUGAAAACUCCGGUGGAUAGAGAUGGGCACGCGCAAGAUUAGAUAGUUGGUGAGGUAACGGCUCACCAAGUCAGCGAUCUUUAGGGGGCCUGAGAGGGUGAUCCCCCACACUGGUACUGAGACACGGACCAGACUCCUACGGGAGGCAGCAGUGAGGAAUAGUGGACAAUGGGUGAGAGCCUGAUCCAGCCAGCCCGCGUGAAGGACGACGGCCCUAUGGGUUGUAAACUUCUUUUGUAUAGGGAUAAACCUAGAUACGUGUAUCUAGCUGAAGGUACUAUACGAAUAAGCACCGGCUAACUCCGUG
rnacentral:rRNA from 1 species